rnacentral:SRP_RNA from 1 species
UCGGCGCUGCUUUUGCAGAUUAUACUCCUGAGGCUCUUAAGGAUCAAGUCUUGAAUUUACCCGGAGCCGAGAAGCUUGAUGUGAAUUUUAACCAGUUUUCCGGUUACCUGAACAUUAACGGCACCAAGAACAACCACUACUGGCUGGUAGAGUCC